rnacentral:rRNA from 1 species
AGAGUUUGAUCAUGGCUCAGAAUCAACGCUGGCGGCGUGCCUAACACAUGCAAGUCGAACGAGAAAGUGGAGCAAUCCAUGAGUAAAGUGGCGACCGGGUGAGUAACACGUGACUAACCUACCUCUUAGUGGGGAAUAACUCCGGGAACCGGGGCUAAUACCGCAUAACACCGCAAGGUCAAAGCAGCAAUGCGCUGGGA